rnacentral:rRNA from 1 species
GAUGAACGCUGGCGGCAUGCCUAAUACAUGCAAGUCGAACGAAGCACUUGUGCUUAGUGGCGAACGGGUGAGUAAUACGUAAGCAACCUGCCCUAAACACGGGGAUAACUACUGGUAACGGUAGCUAAUACCCGAUAGGUCAUAAAGUGGCAUCACUUAAUGAUUAAAGGUCACUUCAAGGACCAGUUUGGGCUGUGCUUAUGGCGCAUUAGCUAGUUGGUGAGGUAACGGCUUACCAAGGCGAUGAUGCGUAGCCGACCUGGGAGGGUGAUCGGCCACAUUGAGACUGAGACACGGGCCAAACUCCUAGUGGAGGCAGCAGUAGGGAAUUUUCGGCAAUGGGCGGAAGCCUGACCGAGCAAUGCCGCGUGAGUGAUGAAGGCCUUCGGGUUGUAAAGCUCUGUUGUAAGGGAAGAACAAGCUAUAUAGGAAAUGAUAUAGCCCUGACGGUACCUUACCAGAAAGCCACGGCUAACUACGUGCCAGCCGCCGCGGUAAAAC